CAUUUUCCUUUUGCGAAAAAAAAGCCCACCAUUUCCCUUGUACCGUCCAUGUUACAUCUGCCGACAUAAGAAGAGAAAUUGUAAGUACUUCUCACCAUUUCUCCAGGGUAAAUUCUUGUUGCAGUAUGAUGCCAAAAUAAACAAAAUAUUAUACUAUCAGACUAGAGUACAUCACCCACCAUAUGAGUGUGAAAGGGAUUGGCCUGAUUGCAUAUUCAUCGCAGCAAUUCCUGGUCAAUGACUUAACUAGUCUAAGCUGAAUAUAGGUUUUGCUCACUGCAGUCGAGGACAAAUAGAAAUCAGGUCAUUAAGAAUGUCAAAAAGGAUUUGCAAGAUAAACUAACAUCUCAGUAUAAUCACGGGUGUGCACCUUGCAGUUCAAGAGUAAUCCUAGAACAAAUGGAACCCCAUCCACCAGACAAUCCAAGGAGAUUGAUCUACAAAAUAAGGUAGUGUGAAUCACUAAUAAAUUUUCAGUCAUGCAUCUGAAUGGAUUUUUCCAAUUUGUAACUAGCACAUACCUUUCUUAACUCCAACUCCAAUUUAACAUGCCGCAAAGCGCACACUUCACUGAUCCAACACAAAUGGGAGCUAGACCUUGAGACUUGCUCCUGUAUUCCCUCCCUCUCUAAAUUUGUGACACGACUAUCUCAUGCAACCAAUCCUAGUUCAUCAAUACUCUCUAGAUUUUCUUGAAAGAACAUACAACAAUUAUGCAACCACCUUUUGUAUAGAUACCACACAAAACCCACAUAAUGGAUGAAGAUUUUUCCUUAAUCAUUUUUUCUUUUUGCCUCCUUUAUUUUGAUGGGAGCUACUAGUGCCAUCUUGAUUUCCAAAUUUGUAUCACACCUACUGGGCGAACAAUCCUACGCUAUUAAUAUUUCUACAUUUUUCUGAAAUAACCUGAAACAACUGCACAACCACCUUUGAUACACCACAUGUUCGAAUGGUGAAUGAAUGAAGGUUUUCCUCUUCUUUUUUACUUCACAUUCCCUCCCUUUUCUUCUUUUUUUCUCACAUCUUUUG
rnacentral:lncRNA from 1 species